rnacentral:tRNA from 1 species
GUCCUUGAAUGGCGAUGGAAGGCCCUAGAAACCCUUCACUUUCUUCCAGAAGCAGCGCGCUCAUAACGGUCUGGUUGCAGGUUCGAGUCCUGCCGGGCCCACCA